GUGGGGAAUAUUGCGCAAUGGGCGAAAGCCUGACGCAGCGACGCCGCGUGAGGGACGAAGGCCUUCGGGUUGUAAACCUCUUUCAGCAGGGACGAAGCCGCAAGGUGACUGUACCUGCAGAAGAAGCACCGGCUAACUACGUGCCAGCAGCCGCGGUAAUACGUAGGGUGCAAGCGUUGUCCGGAAUUAUUGGGCGUAAAGAGCUCGUAGGCGGUUUGUCACGUCGGAUGUGAAACCCUGAGGCUCAACCUCAGGCCUGCAUUCGAUACGGGCAGACUAGAAUUCGGCAGGGGAGACUGGAAUUCCUGGUGUAGCGGUGAAAUGCGCAGAUAUCAGGAGGAACACCGGUGGCGAAGGCGGGUCUCUGGGCCGAUAUUGACGCUGAGGAGCGAAAGCGUGGGGAGCAAACAGGAUUAGAAACCCUAGUAGUCC
rnacentral:rRNA from 1 species